rnacentral:rRNA from 1 species
UAGGGAAUAUUGGACAAUGGGUGAGAGCCUGAUCCAGCCAUGCCGCGUGCAGGAAGAAGGCGUUAUGCGUUGUAAACUGCUUUUUGCCAGGGGAUAAAAAGACCGUGCGCGGUUAAUUGAAGGUACCUGGUGAAUAAGCCACGGCUAACUACGUGCCAGCAGCCGCGGUAAUACGUAGGUGGCAAGCGUUGUCCGGAUUUAUUGGGUUUAAAGGGUGCGUAGGUGGCCCUGUAAGUCAGUGGUGAAAUAUCUCAGCUUAACUGAGAGGGUGCCAUUGAUACUGCAGGGCUUGAGUACAGAUGAGGUAGGCGGAAUUGACGGUGUAGCGGUGAAAUGCAUAGAUAUCGUCAAGAACACCGAUAGCGAAGGCAGCUUACCAAGCUGUAACUGACACUGAGGCACGAAAGUGUGGGGAUCAAACAGGAUUAGAUACCCCCGAGUCCCUGAGCGGGCUGGCAAGGCGCAU